GACGAACGCUGGCGGCGUGCCUAAUACAUGCAAGUAGAACGCUGAAGGAGGAGCUUGCUUCUCUGGAUGAGUUGCGAACGGGUGAGUAACGCGUAGGUAACCUGCCUGGUAGCGGGGGAUAACUAUUGGAAACGAUAGCUAAUACCGCAUAAUAGCAGUUGUUGCAUGACAACUGUUUGAAAGGUGCAAUUGCACCACUACCAGAUGGACCUGCGUUGUAUUAGCUAGUUGGUGGGGUAACGGCUCACCAAGGCGACGAUACAUAGCCGACCUGAGAGGGGGGUCGGCCCCCCUGGGACUGAGACACGGCCCAGACUCCUACGGGAGGCAGCAGUAGGGAAUCUUCGGCAAUAGACGGAAGUCUGACCGAGCAACGCCGCGUGAGUGAAGGAGGUUUUCGGAUCGUAAAGCUCUGUUGUAAGAGAAGAACGAGUGUGAGAGUGGAAAGUUCACACUGUGACGGUAUCUUACCAGAAAGGGACGGCUAACUACGUG
rnacentral:rRNA from 1 species